rnacentral:rRNA from 1 species
AAAUUGAAGAGUUUGAUCAUGGCUCAGAUUGAACGCUGGCGGCAGGCCUAACACAUGCAAGUCGAACGGUAACAGGAAACAGCUUGCUGUUUCGCUGACGAGUGGCGGACGGGUGAGUAAUGUCUGGGAAACUGCCUGAUGGAGGGGGAUAACUACUGGAAACGGUAGCUAAUACCGCAUAAUGUCGCAAGACUAAAGAGGGGGACCUUCGGGCCUCUUGCCAUCGGAUGUGCCCAGAUGGGAUUAGCUAGUAGGUGGGGUAACGGCUCACCUAGGCGACGAUCCCUAGCUGGUCUGAGAGGAUGACCAGCCACACUGGAACUGAGACACGGUCCAGACUCCUACGGGAGGCAGCAGUGGGGAAUAUUGCACAAUGGGCGCAAGCCUGAUGCAGCCAUGCCGCGUGUAUGAAGAAGGCCUUCGGGUUGUAAAGUACUUUCAGCGGGGAGGAAGGGAGUAAAGUUAAUACCUUUACUCAUUGACGUUACC